UACGGGGGGGGCAAGCGUUGUUCGGAAUUACUGGGCGUAAAGGGCUCGUAGGCGGCCAACUAAGUCGGACGUGAAAUCCCUCGGCUUAACCGGGGAACUGCGUCCGAUACUGGAUGGCUUGAGUUCGGGAGAGGGAUGCGGAAUUCCAGGUGUAGCGGUGAAAUGCGUAGAUAUCUGGAGGAACACCGGUGGCGAAGGCGGAUCUCUGGGCCAUUACUGACGCUGAGGUGCGAAAGCGUGGGGAGCAAACAGG
rnacentral:rRNA from 1 species